GUUCUGGGAUUGAAUCCCAUACUGAGCUAUACCUACAGCCCUGUUUAUUUUUGGUUUUGAGACUGGAUCUCCCUAAGUGAUCCAGGCUGGUCAACCUUAAGAUCUUCCUGCCUCACCUUCCUGAGUAGCUGGAAUUAUAAAGUGCUACCAUGCCUAGCUGUUUUGAUCAAAUUUGAAAUGGCUUUGAUUAAAAAUUGCCAAAUUGCCUUCCAAAGAUGAGGUGUUUUUGUUUUUUAUUUUCCUACAGUUCUGGGGAUUGAACCUAAGGAUACUCAACCACUGAGCUAUAUUAUUUUAUUUAUUGGUUACUGAAGAUUGAACUCAGGGAUGCUUUACCACUGACUACAGCCCCAAUCUUUUUUAUUUUUUAUUUUGAGACAGGGUUUCACUAAGUUGCUGAGGCUAGACAAGGCUGGCCUCAAACUUGUGAUCAUCCUGCCUUAGCCUCCUGAGUAGCUGUGCCACUGUGCCUGGCUGAGUUAUUAUUUCAUGCUCCAACUAACAACAAAUGAGAAUGACAGUUUACUCAUAAACUCAUAAACAGUUUUCUUAAUCUUCUUAUAAAUUGUUAAUUUGAUUAACAAAAAGUUAACUAAUCAUUUUACAUUUCUUUGAAUUAUUAGUAAUAUUGAUUAUCUUUCUUGUGCAUAUUGGCCACUUGUAUUUCUUCUGUGAUAGGCUUAUUUGCAUUACUUCCCAUUUUUCUAUUG
rnacentral:lncRNA from 1 species